CAAAAGGGCAGUUUGCCUAAUGCACACUUCAGCGCAAGUGGUGAAUCGUAGAUCAAUAGAUUUGCUCUGCAUAAUUUUUAAAUAGGUCGUUGGUGUUGGCAUCUUUGCUGAUACGAUCGACUCCUUU
rfam:Blastocystis hominis, Singapore isolate B (sub-type 7) whole genome shotgun sequence assembly, scaffold_1